rfam:Scleropages formosus scaffold4360, whole genome shotgun sequence.
CUUGGCUAUGGGGACAUGUAUCCCCAGACCUGGUCAGGCAUGUUGGUUGGGGCCCUGUGCGCCCUGGCUGGAGUACUGACCAUCGCCAUGCCUGUUCCUGUCAUUGUAAACAAU